rnacentral:rRNA from 1 species
CGACCCUACGGAGGCAGCAGUGGGGAAUAUUGCACAAUGGGGGAAACCCUGAUGCAGCGACGCCGCGUGAGUGAAGAAGUAUUUCGGUACGUAAAGCUCUAUCAGCAGGGAAGAAAAAAAGUCCUUUGGACUUUGGACGGUACCUGACUAAGAAGCCCCGGCUAACUACGUGCCAGCAGCCGCGGUAAUACGUAGGGGGCAAGCGUUAUCCGGAUUUACUGGGUGUAAAGGGAGCGUAGACGGCAGCGCAGGUCUGGAGUGAAAUGCCGGGGCCCAACCCCGGAACUGCUUUGGAAACUGUGCAG